rnacentral:misc_RNA from 1 species
AAGAGUUGUAAAACUCCCAAACCCAUGUGAACAUACCUGUUGCCUCGGUGGGCUACCCGGUAGCUACCCUGUAGUCUGCCGAAGGAACUCUAAACUCUUGUUUAUCAGUAUCAUCUCUGAAUAUAACUUUUAAAUAAGUCA